UACAGGGGGUGCAAGCGUUGCUCGGAAUCAUUGGGCGUAAAGCGCACGUAGGCGGUUCGGUAUGUCGGAUGUGAAAGCCCUUGGCUUAACCGAGGAAGUGCAUCCGAAACUGGCGAGCUAGAGUACGAAAGAGGAUCGCGGAAUUCCCGGUGUAGAGGUGAAAUUCGUAGAUAUCGGGAGGAACACCGGUGGCGAAGGCGGCGAUCUGGGUCGAUACUGACGCUGAGGUGCGAAAGCGUGGGGAGCAAACAGG
rnacentral:rRNA from 1 species